CGCUAUCUGCAGUCGAGGGGCAGCACAGGUAGCAAUACUGGGUGGCGACCGGCAAACGGGUGCGGAACACGUACGUAACCUUCCUUUAAGUGGGAGAUAGCCCGAAGAAAUUCGGAUUAAUACCCCAUAAGAUUGUGGAGUGGCAUCACUCAGCAAUUAAAGAAAUUCGCUUAAAGAUGGGCGUGCGGCUGAUUAGGUAGUUGGUGAGGUAACGGCUCACCAAGCCAACGAUCAGUAACUGGCGUGAGAGCGCGACCAGUCACACGGGCACUGAGACACGGGCCCGACUCCUACGGGAGGCAGCAGUAAGGAAUAUUGGUCAAUGGACGCAAGUCUGAACCAGCCAUGCCGCGUGAAGGAUGAAGGUCCUCUGGAUUGUAAACUUCUUUUAUAUGGGAAGAAACCACUUUUUUCUAAAGGUGUUGACGGUACCAUAGGAAUAAGCACCGGCUAACUCCGUGCCAGCAGCCGCGGUAAUACGGAGGGUGCAAGCGUUAUCCGGAUUCACUGGGUUUAAAGGGUGCGUAGGCGGAUUAGUAAGUCCGUGGUGAAAUCUCCGAGCUUAACUCGGAAACUGCCGUGGGUACUAUUAAUCUUGAAUACUGUGGAGGUUAGCGGAAUAUGUCAUGUAGCGGUGAAAUGCAUAGAUAUGACAUAGAACACCAAUUGCGAAGGCAGCUGGCUACACAGAGAUUGACGCUGAGGCACGAAAGCGUGGGGAUCAAACAGGAUUAGAUACCCUGGUAGUCCACGCCCUAAACGAUGAUUACUCGACAUUUGCGAUAUACAGUAAGUGUCUGAGCGAAAGCAUUAAGUAAUCCACCUGGGAAGUACGACCGCAAGGUUGAAACUCAAAGG
rnacentral:rRNA from 1 species